CUCCAUGCUACCCUGCAAGGCAUAGACUAGGAUAAUGUUCCUAUAAUGUUAUGAAGAAGAAACUGAUUUGAAAGACUAAGAAGACACCCUCGCUCUAAGAAAGGAAGACCUAAGAAAAAUGAAAGGUUCGCCAUACAGAAUAAACACGAACCUGUUAAGCAAGCAGAAUUUUGGAAGAAGUACAUACACAGUUUAAAGAAGAGCUGGAAACUCUGCUGUAAUGAGGGUUAGGGAAAUGUCUUGACCAUUAUUUGAGUGACCCUGUCUAACUAGAUCUGGAUGGAAACCAUUGGUAAAAUAAGCACACAGACUUCAUGAGGCUUUGCAACAUGAAAUGGGAAUGAGACAGUGUGGAACCCCGG